rnacentral:rRNA from 1 species
GAUGAACGCUGGCGGCGUGCCUAAUACAUGCAAGUCGAGCGAACGGACGCGGAGCUUGCUGUUCUGUUGUUAGCGGCGGACGGGUGUGUAACACGUGUAUCCCCUACCUAUAAUACUGGUAUCAUUUCGGGACACCGGCGCUAAUACCGUAUAAUCUUUUGAACCGCAUUGUUCAAAAGUGAAAGACGGUCUUUCUGUCACUUCUCGCUGGAUCCGCGCUGCAUUAGCUAGUUGGUAAGGUAACGGCUUACCAAGGCAACGAUGCAUAGCCGAACUGAGAGGGUGAUCGGCCACACUGGAACUGAGACACGGUCCAGACUCCUACGGGAGGCAGCAGUAGGGAAUCUUCCGCAAUGGGCGAAAGCAUGACGGAGCAACGCCGAGUGAGUGAUGAAGGUCUUCGGAGCGUAAAACUCGGUUAUGAGGGAAGAACAGAUGUGUAAGGAAAUGUGCACAUCUUGACGGUAACUAAUCAGAAAGCCACGGCUAACUACGUG